rnacentral:rRNA from 1 species
CGUGAAGUUGGAAUUGCUAGUAAUCGCGGAUCAGCAUGCCGCGGUGAAUACGUUCCCGGGCCUUGUACACACCGCCCGUCAAACCAUGGAAGUCGAUAAUGCCCGAAGUCAGUAGCCUAACCGCAAGGGGGGCGCUGCCGAAGGCAGGAUUGAUGACUGGGGUUAAGUCGUAACAAGGUACC